UACGUAUGGUGCAAGCGUUAUCCGGAUUUACUGGGUGUAAAGGGAGCGCAGGCGGUGCGGCAAGUCUGAUGUGAAAGCCCGGGGCUCAACCCCGGUACUGCAUUGGAAACUGUCGUACUAGAGUGUCGGAGGGGUAAGUGGAAUUCCUAGUGUAGCGGUGAAAUGCGUAGAUAUUAGGAGGAACACCAGUGGCGAAGGCGGCUUACUGGACGAUAACUGACGCUGAGGCGCGAAAGCGUGGGGAGCAAACAGGAUUAGAGACCCGUGGAGGCAGGCGACUGACU
rnacentral:rRNA from 1 species